rnacentral:rRNA from 1 species
GACGAACGCUGGCGGCGUGCUUAACACAUGCAAGUCGAACGGAAAGGCCCUGCUUUUGUGGGGUGCUCGAGUGGCGAACGGGUGAGUAACACGUGAGUAACCUGCCCUUGACUUUGUGAUAACUUCAGGAAACUGGGGCUAAUACCGGAUAGGAGCUCCUGCUGCAUGGUGGGGGUUGGAAAGUUUCGGCGGUUGGGGAUGGACUCGCGGCUUAUCAGCUUGUUGGUGGGGUAGUGGCUUACCAAGGCUUUGACGGGUAGCCGGCCUGAGAGGGUGACCGGGCACAUUGGGACUGAGAUACGGCCCAGACUGGUACGGGAGGCAGCAGUGGGGAAUAUUGCACAAUGGGCGGAAGCCUGAUGCAGCAACGCCGCGUGCGGGAUGACGGCCUUCGGGGUGUAAACCGCUUUCGCAUGUGACGAAGCGUGAGUGACGGUAAUGGGUAAAGAAGCACCGGCUAACUACGUG